UAAACGACUCUCGGCAACGGAUAUCUCGGCUCACGCAUCGAUGAAGAACGUAGCAAAAUGCGAUACUUGGUGUGAAUUGCAGAAUCCCGUGAACCAUCGAGUUUUUGAACGCAAGUUGCGCCCGAAGCCAUUCGGCCAAGGGCACGUCUGCCUGGGCGUCACG
rnacentral:rRNA from 2 species